AUGGGCCUGGAGAAAACCUUCCAGGGAUCAAGGCGGAAGUCUGUAAGGAAGAUGCAGCAGGCCAGGGAAGGGAGGGUCCUGAGAAUGCAAGCGAAAGCAAUGAAAUGCUGCAUCAGGAAACCCAGAUGUCUGCAAGGGAAAGGGCUUACACGGGAGCACACCAAGCUUGCCUUCCCCAGCCCCUUCAGACACCUGUCUGAGGGCUUCUUGCAUAGCCGCUGGCUCCUGAAGCUGAAACAUGGGCACUUUGGGUGGCCAGGCUGGGAGAUGGGCCCACCAGGAAACUGGAGCCUACAUCCUCCUCGUGGAAGGGAUGCCCACCCUGGUCCCACUGCAGAAUCAGCUUCUGGUCCAUCAGAGGAUCGGAGUGUGAAUUUCCUGAAGAACAUAGGGGAGAGCUGCCCUCAGCCCUCUGGGCAUGGAAGUUGAUAUUGAUGUGGAGCAUGGAGGGAAAAGAAGCCACCUGACCCCUGUCUCUCCAGAGAGUUCCAGCACAGAGGAGAAGGGCAGCUUGCAGCCAAGCAGCUGCUGCUCUGACCUGAGCAAUGUGAGUGGGACCAUGGAGGGUGCCACACAGUCUCUGGUGAGGUGGUUGAUAAAGAUCACCUUGGAGCCCGAGGGGCACCCUGAGGAACAGAUGGAGUCUGAUAACUGUUCGGGAGGAGACGAUGACUGGACCCAUUGUCUUCAAAAGAAGUGGACCCAUCCACAGGUGAACUCCCGUCCCUACAGAUGCCAGAAUCCGAAGGGCCAAGCUCUCUGGACCCCUCCCAGGAGGGACCCACAGGGCUGAAAGAAGCUGGCUUGUCCCCACAUCUCCCACCAGAAGCUGACCCGUGGCUGAUUGAGUCCAUCUCCCAGAGGCUGUCCUUGGGCUUCUCUGACUAAGGCGGCUUGCUCAUCAGGGUCCUGCAGACCAAGAAUUAUGACAUCGGGGUGGCUCUGAACACCAUCCAUUAUUCAAAGCAUCCGCCGCCUUUGUGACUGCUUUUGCCCACCUCUUCUGUGUCCCCCUCUUCUGUCUCGUAGUUGUGUUAAGCUAGUGUAGAAUUGCAGGCCUCUGUAUGGACCAGUUUCUCCGCCUUCUUCUUUCAGGAUCAGGGGUUGGGGUGCAAGAAGCCAUUUAGGGCAGCAAAACAAGUGACUUGAGGGGAGAGUCCCCGUGUGUG